rnacentral:rRNA from 1 species
GAUGAACGCUAGCGGCAGGCUUAACACAUGCAAGUCGAGGGGUAACAGGAGUGCUUGCACUCGCUGACGACCGGCGCACGGGUGCGUAACGCGUAUAGAACCUACCUUUUACUGAGGGAUAGCCUUUAGAAAUGAAGAUUAAUACCUCAUGGUAUUGCAAUUUGGCAUCAGAUUGUAAUUAAAGAUUUAUUGGUAAAAGAUGGCUAUGCGUCUUAUUAGCUAGAUGGUAAGGUAACGGCUUACCAUGGCAACGAUAAGUAGGGGCCCUGAGAGGGGGAUCCCCCACACUGGUACUGAGACACGGACCAGACUCCUACGGGAGGCAGCAGUGAGGAAUAUUGGACAAUGGAGGCAACUCUGAUCCAGCCAUGCCGCGUGUAGGAUGACUGCCCUAUGGGUUGUAAACUACUUUUAUACAGGAAGAAACACCUCUACGUGUAGAGGCUUGACGGUACUGUAAGAAUAAGGAUCGGCUAACUCCGUGCCAGCAGG